rnacentral:rRNA from 1 species
UUUAUGGAGAGUUUGAUCCUGGCUCAGGAUGAACGCUGGCGGCGUGCCUAAUACAUGCAAGUCGAGCGAACGGACGAGAAGCUUGCUUCUCUGAUGUUAGCGGCGGACGGGUGAGUAACACGUGGAUAACCUACCUAUAAGACUGGGAUAACUUCGGGAAACCGUAGCUAAUACCGGAUAAUAUUUUGAACCGCAUGGUUCAAAAGUGAAAGACGGUCUUGCUGUCACUUAUAGAUGGAUCCGCGCUGCAUUAGCUAGUUGGUAAGGUAACGGCUUACCAAGGCAACGAUGCAUAGCCGACCUGAGAGGGUGAUCGGCCACACUGGAACUGAGACACGGUCCAGACUCCUACGGGAGGCAGCAGUAGGGAAUCUUCCGCAAUGGGCGAAAGCCUGACGGAGCAACGCCGCGUGAGUGAUGAAGGUCUUCGGAUCGUAAAACUCUGUUAUUAGGGAAGAACAUAUGUGUAAGUAACUGUGCACAUCUUGACGGUACCUAAUCAGAAAGCCACGGCUAACUACGUGCCAGCAGCCGCGGUAAUACGUAGGUGGCAAGCGUUAUCCGGAAUUAUUGGGCGUAAAGCGCGCGUAGGCGGUUUUAAGUCUGAUGUGAAAGCCCACGGCUCAACCGUGGAGGGUCAUUGGAAACUGGAAAACUUGAGUGCAGAAGAGGAAAGUGGAAUUCCAUGUGUAGCGGUGAAAUGCGCAGAGAUAUGGAGGAACACCAGUGGCGAAGGCGACUUUCUGGUCUGUAACUGACGCUGAUGUGCGAAAGCGUGGGGAUCAAACAGGAUUAGAUACCCUGGUAGUCCACGCCGUAAACGAUGAGUGCUAAGUGUUAGGGGGUUUCCGCCCCUUAGUGCUGCAGCUAACGCAUUAAGCACUCCGCCUGGGGAGUACGACCGCAAGGUUGAAACUCAAAGGAAUUGACGGGGACCCGCACAAGCGGUGGAGCAUGUGGUUUAAUUCGAAGCAACGCGAAGAACCUUACCAAAUCUUGACAUCCUUUGACAACUCUAGAGAUAGAGCCUUCCCCUUCGGGGGACAAAGUGACAGGUGGUGCAUGGUUGUCGUCAGCUCGUGUCGUGAGAUGUUGGGUUAAGUCCCGCAACGAGCGCAACCCUUAAGCUUAGUUGCCAUCAUUAAGUUGGGCACUCUAAGUUGACUGCCGGUGACAAACCGGAGGAAGGUGGGGAUGACGUCAAAUCAUCAUGCCCCUUAUGAUUUGGGCUACACACGUGCUACAAUGGACAAUACAAAGGGCAGCGAAACCGCGAGGUCAAGCAAAUCCCAUAAAGUUGUUCUCAGUUCGGAUUGUAGUCUGCAACUCGACUACAUGAAGCUGGAAUCGCUAGUAAUCGUAGAUCAGCAUGCUACGGUGAAUACGUUCCCGGGUCUUGUACACACCGCCCGUCACACCACGAGAGUUUGUAACACCCGAAGCCGGUGGAGUAACCUUUUAGGAGCUAGCCGUCGAAGGUGGGACAAAUGAUUGGGGUGAAGUCGUAACAAGGUAGCCGUAUCGGAAGGUGCGGCUGGAUCACCUCCUUUCU